GGAGAGAUGGCCGAGCUGGCUGAAGGCGCUCGCCUGCUAAGCGAGUAUGGGAACAAAACUCCCAUCGAGGGUUCGAAUCCCUCUCUCUCCG
rnacentral:tRNA from 1 species